rnacentral:rRNA from 1 species
GACGAACGCUGGCGGCGUGCCUAAUACAUGCAAGUCGAACGCAGUGGGGACGGGUGAGUAACACGUGGGUAACCUCCCAUCAGAGGGGAUAACACUUGGAAACAGGUGCUAAACCGAUACUGAUGGAUGGACACGCGGUGCAUUAGCUAGUUGGUGAGGUAACGGCUCACCAAGCCCACGAGGCAUAGCCGACCUGAGAGGGGGAUCGGCCACACGGGGACUGAGACACGCCCCAGACGCCUACGUGAGGCAGCAGUAGGGAAUCUGCGGCAAUUGACGAAAGUCUGACCGAGCAACGCCGCGUGAGUUAAGAAGGUUUUCGGUGCGUAAAACUCUGUUGUUAGAGAAGCGGUAUCUAACCAGAAAGCCACGGCUAACUACGUGCCAGCAGCCGCGGUAAUUC